ensembl:misc_RNA Metazoa_SRP Metazoan signal recognition particle RNA
GCUGGGUGUGGUGGCGCAUGCCUGUAAUCCCAGCUAUGCGGGAGGCUGAGGCAGGAGAAUCGCUUGAACCCGGGAGGUGGAGGCUGCAGUGAACUGAGAUUGUGCCACUGCACUCCAGCCUGGGUGACAGAGUGUGACUCUGCCUCAA